GUACACGCUGUGACUAGCAUAUCAAUAAGCGGAGGAAAAGAAACUAACAAGGAUUCCCUAGUAACGGCGAGUGAAGCGGGAAGAGCUCAAAUUUGAAAUCUUCAAGGUUUUACCUUGACGAAUUGUAGUUUAAAGAAGUGUUUUCUGUUGAAGUUUUGGUAAAAGUUCUUUGGAAUAGGACAUCAUAGAGGGUGAGAAUCCCGUAUUUGACCAUUAUUUUCAGCUGUGUGAUACACUUUCAAAGAGUCGGAUUGUUUGGGAAUGCAGUCCAAAAUGGGAGGUAAAUUUCUAUCUAAGGCUAAAUAUUGGCGAGAGACCGAUAGCGAACAAGUACCGUGAGGGAAAGAUGAAAAGAACUUUGAAAAGAGAGUUAAACUAGUACGUGAAAUUGUCAAAAGGGAAGCGUUUAACACCAGUGUUGUUUUUCUGAAAAUCAAUUAAAGAACUGUUUAUGCUAAGCUGUUUAGACUUUAUCAGCUAUCUGUUUAGUUUUGAGCUUUUCUUUAAUGCACUUUUCAGUUAACAAGUCAACAUCAAUUUCUUUUGCUGUAAAAAAGCUUGAGGAAGGUGGCUUGAGAUUCGUCUUAAGUGUUUAUAGCCUCUUGCCUAUGCAGUCGGAGAGAUUGAGGUCUGCAGCGUAGAUCCUUCGGGGCUAAAUGCAUUUGUGCUAAGUUAUAGCAUUUUAUAGACAACUUGUUGACUAUGAUUUGUCUUGUAGCUUACUCGCUUAUGUUAUUUUACCUACGCUUAGGAUGUUGACGCAUGAGAUAUACGC
rnacentral:rRNA from 1 species